rnacentral:rRNA from 1 species
AGCAGUCGCCACGGUAAUACGUAGGGGGCAAGCGUUAUCCGGAAUUACUGGGUGUAAAGGGAGCGUAGACGGUUAAACAAGUCUGAAGUGAAAUGCCGGGGCUCAACCCCGGAGCUGCUUUGGGAACUGUAGAACUGGAGUGUCGGAGGGGUAGCGGAAUUCCCAGUGUAGCGGUGAAAUGCGUAGAUAUUGGGAGGAACACCGGCGGCGAAGGCGGCCUACUGGACGACAACUGACGUUGAGGCUCGAAGGCGUGGGUAGCAAACAGGAUUAGAUACCCCAGUAGUCCCUGUCUCUUAUACA